rnacentral:tRNA from 1 species
GGGGUUGUGGCUCAGCGGUAGAGCGUUUGCCUAGCACGGGCAAGGCCCUGGGUUCGAUCCCCAACACCA